UACGGGGGGGGGUAAGCGUUGUUCGGAUUUACUGGGCGUAAAGGGCGCGUAGGCGGCCACCGCAAGUCGACUGUGAAAUCUCCGGGCUUAACCCGGAAAGGUCAGCCGAUACUGCGGGGCUAGAGUGCAGAAGGGGCAACUGGAAUUCUCGGUGUAGCGGUGAAAUGCGUAGAUAUCGAGAGGAACACCUGCGGCGAAGGCGGGUUGCUGGGCUGAUACUGACGCUGAGGCGCGAAAGCCAGGGGAGCGAACGGG
rnacentral:rRNA from 1 species